UAUUAUUACUUUGGCAGAUUAGUGCGUUAGAUUUAGAACCUUUUAAUGUAAUUUUUUUACAGGUA
rnacentral:tRNA from 1 species